AAACACGGAAAUGGUUAUAAUCGUUUUUCCACCAUUCAUUUUAUCCCUGCAUUGUAGAUUUUAGAAACACUUCAAAUAAGUGUUUCGCGUAGGCUUACGUUUUGAUAACCAUGUAAAUGUCUAUCGUUAAAGGUGACGUUUAUCAAUAUAUUCGCCUGUAGUUAGCCCCCCAAAAAUGAAACGCUAAUUAGCUGCUAAUGUGGUUAUCAUACAGAACUACAAAUGCCUGUCUCAAGCGUCAUGUCACUCAUCAGGGUCAUGAUAAUCUGGAUGUAUCUGCCGAAUAUAGACAAAAAACACGUGAGGACCUCGAUUUGAACACCGCAACUGAGAUGGACUGACGUUGACGGACACACGCUGAGACCACGAGUAUGACUGGACAUGGGAUGGAUAUUUGUGAAGACCUAAAAGGGGUGCAAAAGCACACCAACUUAUUUUUUAUUCCAUGGCCAACCAUCUCGGGCUGAAAGCCUCAACCUAAUUGGUUGAUCACAGGUUAGGGUAUAUAUAUAUUCAAUGUCACCCUGAAGGUUGCCAGGGCAAGCUGUUUCUUGUACAUACAUUCAAUUGUAAAAUGCACAAACAUUUUAGUAAAAUGAGUAUUCUUGAGUGAAUAACAUAAAAUCCCACUUUUGUAUGUCCAAUAGGUUAUGAAAAGCAUCAACAAUUUAACAUGACCUUAUGGUGAGUGACAUUUAAUGAAGUGAGAUGACUGGAUUAAUAUUUACAUUCAAGUUCUCUCUGUACACAUACAAUUGCUUGAAAAAUCAACCCCAAUAUGAAUGAAGAAAAGAUCCAUGGAAGGGUGAUCCAAAGGGGGUUGGUUGUAUCUACACAGUAAAAAACAUAUAUUUGGCUUUCUAUUCGUGCAUAUCUAUUCCGUGCUCUUAAACUGAGUUCAUAUCUCCCAUGGUCUUAACUUAAAUAGAUAAAGUUUUGACCAGUUCAAAUCCAGGUUGAAACUCCCCAUAAAAGAGUCUUUAUCAACAGGAUCAUAUUGCCCUAUCAGGUUAGAAUGUUGUUUAAACAAGAGUAAAACUGGGUUAAAUGAGACCUAUUCUUAGUUUGAGGAACAGCACUUCAUGUAAGUCCAUCUCUCGUGAAGUAUUAGCUGCAUUAUCUGCUGUAUGGAAACUAUUCCACAAUGGGUGGUACCACAUACACUGAAAAAAAAUAUAAACACAACAUGUGUUGGUCCCAUGUUUCAUGAGCUGAAAUAAAAGAUCCCAGAAAUUG